CCGGCUCCGGUUCACCCCGCGGGUACGGGGAUCCGGCGGCC
rnacentral:ncRNA from 1 species